CGGGCAGUGCUCUCGGCUCCCAGGCUGCUGCAACCGUACUUAGGGGUCUAACCCUGCUGCCCCAGCCUUUAUGGGAGAAAAGAUUGUUCCCGACUCCAUUUAUUUCCAGGUAGAAAAGAAUCAGAGAGCCCUGCAGGGUGAAGGCGAAGACGAGGCGCUCCAGAUAAGUGUUUUUUUUUUCCUCUGUAUUACUUAUUUAUUAAAGCCAGUGAGGCAUAACUAAGAGAAGGGAAAGGAACCGAGGAAAGAGAGAAUACAAUGGCCCUUCAGGUUUUAAUGGGAGAGAUGGCUGGCAGUGAUUCCUAAAUUAUUAAAUAAAUCGAUUCGAUUCUUGAAGCUGGCCUCCAAGGUGUAUUUGUCAGUUUCAUUAUCUUUGUCUUCAAGAGUGGGAAGAGUCACUCAUGGAGAAAGUUUUAUUAUUUUUUUCCCCUCUGUUUUAUUUUGAAGGCUGCAAUUCAUGGCCCCCUCUCUAAUUAAACACUCACUUCUUUAUGUAACAGGAGCCGUGCUCUUUUCAUUUUUAUUUCGGCUUCUGUUCUGAUCCUAUUUGUCUUACAGGCCCGCAGACGUGUAACAAGAUCGGGUCAGCUUUAGGGCACACACACUUUGGAGAAUCUUGAUCCCAUUUGAAUUAUAGGACCGUGUGGUCACAGACUCGGAAGAAUGGCGAUGUCAGGAUUAUCGUCUGCAUGGUGGAUGUUGAGGACGGUGACUCUCAUGCUAAGAUGAGGGAGAGACAGGAAGGAGGCGAGUGUUAUGGUGCUCUGCUAACGGCAAAGGAUCUCCCUUUGAGGCCCUCUACAAUUGCUGACACAACUCUUCAAGUGCGGGGAAAUCAGAGUCGGUAAGUGACAAUCAUAGAAAAGCAGUUAGUGGACCACCCCGUGGCUUGCCCUGAUAUGGCACAUUAAGGCUCUUUCUUUGCUUUCCUCCGCAGUCCCUGGUCACACUUCAUCCCCAGCCCAACAUCUGCGGGAGGUCAAGGCACUGGGAGUCCUGAGAUUUCAAACCAUCUGCCAAGGAAAAAGGAAGUCUGCGCUUGAGGAGGGAGGAGGAAGAACCUAAAUGAUAUUCUGAAGACCUUAAAGUUAUGUAUCGUGGACGAGGGCAGGAAAAUCGUUAUUAAUGGUAUCAGCCUAUUGUCUUCCUUCUGUGCCUCAGAGGGCGGUGGACAUAAUUAAAGUCGAAGCCGAGUUCAUUUUUCCCCUUGGAGGCUUAAAUAGCCUGGAGACAUUUCCCAUUCCUCCCUUCCCACUAGUGCCAGUUUUCCCCAGCUGCUGAAAAAUUCAACAUUCCUAUAAACUACAGUACUUUGUAAAGGUCAUUCGCCAGUUAAUCUGAACCCGGGGUCUGGAGCGCUGCUCACUGUAGCUACAGCAGUGGCCGUCCAGCCCCGUGACGUGGGGCCUGCCUGCGGAGAACUAGAGGGACACGAGGCAGGCACGCAGAGCUCUUUAAAUAUUGCCGAGCGUUUCCUGGAUCAGCAUGAUAUUUAAAGAUUUUUGUUCCACCUGCCUGCGAAAUAUAGAGUCCAGCCGAGAGGCAAGAAAAUGAAUAUGGAUUUCUUGCCCUUUCAGUGUAUUCACUCCAGAAAAUAGCCGUUUCUUCUUUUUUUUUUUCCCCUUUUUUGCCGAGCUGGAGACUGCAGGCUUCAGGCAGCCACGAUUACAAUCAUGCAUCAUGAAUGAAAUGUGCCAUUUGGAGAAAAUAAGCCACUCAUUCCAUUUCAAAACCCCCCACAAAUCAAUAGGGCUGGCAGAGUUUUGGGGCUGAGCUGGAUGUUGUGUUUGAACUGAAAUACUUUCUCAACACACUUCUGACACUCAGAGCAGUGGCCAGGGGCAGAUUCUGUGCCAGGGGCUCCAACAAGAGGAUGAUCAGCCUCUAAAAGUUGGAUCUGGUUCGGCACGUGAUGGAGAAGAGAGACUUAGUGCUGAUGGGCAGAAGAUUGGGCAGGGUCAGAAGAUGAGCUUCCCAGCUUGAGUUCUGCCUGAACUAGCUUUUUAUUAAUCCCCUCAAUCAAAAAACAACUCUGGAGAACUUCUUGUGUGCCAGGCACUGGGCUAAACUCUGGGAAUACAACAGCAACCAAGGUAGACACAGCCCCUGCCUUCACAUGGCUUCUAGAGAUUAAUAUGGGAGGCAGAACAAUUGCUGGGCCAUUGCAACACAGUGUGAUAAGCCUUAGGACACUGGGAAGAUUUUUCAUCUCUCUGGUUGCCCUUUUUUUAUAGGCAGAAUGAGGAAGUUUAAAAAGAUACACCCUCAAGACAUUCUCCCCUUCCAGGAUCCUAAUCAAUCAGUAGGGCAAUUAGACAACCAAAUAUUUGACCUCACCUUGUUUCCAGGUCCAGACAUGGCUCUUGCUCCUUUUUUCUCAAGGUCACCACAACCCAGUUUGCAGAUACAAGACAUGCAGAUGAAAUGUUGACUUACAGUUGAGGUGUCAGGUAAACGUUAUGGACUUUGGUAAGUUUUUGGCAGUUCAGAGAGUUCCUUGGGAGUUCAAAGGAAGGAGAGAUGGCUAAGUGCAUUAUCUGUGCCAGAUACACUUUUCUCUGCACCUUCUUAACCACUCCCCUGGCUCCCAUUACUUAUAUAGGGAGAAGACUCCUAAGUUUGUGUCUCCAGCCCAGAUAUUUCCCAUGAGCUUUCCCCAAUACCUGGCUCUUCCUUUGGCUAACUCCUACUCAUUUUCCAUCUCACACUUAGGCACCAUUUGUUCCAAGAGGAUUAUUCAUCCCCUUGAGCCUAGUUAGGCCUUCUAUCACAUGUUCCUGUGGCACCCUAGUCUUCAUCAGAGCACUUACCAUGAUCUUUUGUAACUGCUAUUCAAUGCUCUCCUCCACAAGUCUACAACAUCUUCAGGGGCAGGGACUAUGUCUAUCUGACUUGUUGUUUCCCCAAGGCCACUAUAGUGCUUUGUAUUUUUUGGUAUUUGGUAAGUAAUUUGUUAUAUAAAUGAAUGGCUUUCUAAUUCUUCUAGAGAAUAAACAUACUUUCUUUAAGGCAUGCAUCCAGACCUUUUCACCCUAUUUGGGUGGUCCAUCCCAGAAUAAGAUGAAACUAAAAUGGCUUUGUGCCAAUAUAUUCCUAACAGAGUGUGGUGUCUCAGGCAGAGUUUCCUAAAAAUCAGAGCUUGAGACAAGGUUCGAGUGCUAAUGUGUUAUUUGAGAGGUGCACUCCCAGGGCAGUGAAAAUGAAGCAAAAGAGAAGUGAGGCAGGGCGGGAUGGGAAGCAGCUCAAGGUGAUGUGUUACUAUGCUGGCCCCUGCUUCAUGAUGGCAUAUGUGUGCACCCACACACACAACAACUACAACAAACAACAUAAUCAUAGCCAGUUGCUCAGCAGGCACACCUGCUCAGCCAUGCGGGAUAUUUUUGGACAGACCAGACAGAAAAACCAUGCCUCAGAACAGUCCUUGGGAGGAAGAAGAGAAGGGGAUUUAUCCUCCCGCUCCUAUUCCCAUUGGUUAAGGUCAGUCCCUGUGGGAAGAGAACUUCCCUGUAUUUACGGUUUGUUUUAUCUGAUGUUCUUGAAAGCCACUGAGGAAGUCAGAGCUCAUGCCUUAUGACACGACAUUUCAUCCAAGUCACAUAUAUGCAGAACAGAGUAAAUAUAGUGGGCCUGAGACUGCUAUUCUUAAAAGGACCUGCUUGCAUUUUUGGUCCUUAGCUGGCAUCUGGGAACUUAGAUUUCAGGAGGAUUCGCAUCACCGUGCCUGAACUUUUUGUUCAAGUGAUGUAGUUUAUGCCGAACAUCUGCUUUCCUUCUGGGAGUCUGGAGUUUUGGUAUGUGCUGGCAGAGGAUACCUACGUGGCAAGUCCAUGAUAAAAACCCUGGUGCACUGAGUCUCUAAUGAGCUUCCCUGGUAGACUCAUUUCACGUAUAUCGUCAAAACCCAUUGCUAGAGGAACUGAGUGAGUCCUAUGGGACUCCACUGGGAGACGACUCUUGGAAGCUGGAGCCUGGUCUCCCCCAGACUUCUCCCUUUGCUGACUGUGCUUUGUAUCCUUCUGCUGUAGUAUAUCAUAGCAGUGAGUAUGAUUCUAUGCUGGAGUUCUGUGAGUCCUCCUAGCGAAUCAUUGAACCUGAGGGUGGACUUGGAGACCCCUGACACAGCAUACACGGCUUUGAACCAAGCAGACUUUGGGGAAUUGGUUGGCAGGGCAGAGGCUGAGGUGAAGCAAGAGGAUGAGGGUCUGGGAGACAGGGGAGGCUGAGGAGGUACAAAGGUGUGUCUGAUACAUGUAGCAAAAGAGCCCAGAUGGACCUUGGUGGCUAUCAGCUAGGCAAACUACUCCAUGGAUUAAUGUUUCUUUGUCUCAGUUUCAAGAUGGAUAAAAUGGUGACAAUUAUAUUUACCUUGCAGUGUUGUAAGGAUUGGUAUAAUAUAUGACUUUCUUCAAUCCUGUUGACUUUCAGGAAAAGGAAUCUUGACCCCUUAACUUUAGGCUGUAGUAUUUGGUUGGAUUACGUGGAGCGUGUGUGUUGGGGAGAUGGAGAGAGUGAAGAUGCAGAAGUGAGUGAAGACUGCCACUGUGUGUGGGGAGAAAGUUACUAUUUCUACUUCACCAAUAAUGGAAUGGAAUGUUCUGACAAGAUGGUACCUGGUUCUAGAUGUUGUGGUGUUGGGCUUUGUUGAGGUUUAAGUAUUUCUAAGAGAGUUCUCUUAGAGUCCAGCAGAUUAUGAGACUACCAAGAUACUACUUUAGAUGGUGGCCAUGUUGGACUUGACCCGGGACCAGCCUAGGGUGACCACACAGGAUAUUUUUAGGCUCCCAUGUCCUCUAUCGGUGAGUAUUAGAAUUAUUUGGCUGCCAGCAACAGACUUUAACUAACUUAAGCAAAAAUGCAUUAUUGGAGGGCUUCAGAGUAGCUUGCAAAGAGUAGUAGGUGAACAAGUAGGUCUUAGGUAGGGUAGACACCAGGACAGUUCUGGGUACCUCAGCAGUUGGACAAAUACUAUAGAGUGCGGUUGUUGGAUGGCAGCUAUUCUUCUUGGCUCCCCUGUGUGUCAAAGAUUCAGAUUCCCCGCAGAAGGGCUGUGAUUGGCUUCCUUGCAACACUUGGCCACCCUGGUAGGCAGGGGGAGGAUUUCUGUGGUUGUCAGCUCAAUAGAAACACAUCAGAGGAGAAAGAGUGCCCCGAAUGAAGGAGGAUGUCAUUUACCAGAAGCAGGUAAGACAUUGACACAGAUCUUUGUGACUUGGCCUCUGCCCCAUGGAACUCAAGUCACCAGGUCACAAUUCUGCCUCUGGGACAUGUGAAGCCUGGUGCUACCAGGGUACCCUGGGGCUUUGUCAGGUUUGGUCAUUCUUGAGGGUUUGCCAUGUCUCCUUGGUUUCUCCAUGCUUUACAAACAUAGCCAAAAAACAUUUUAGGAAGGCUCCUUCCCUAUGGAUGUUACUGAUCUCUUGUUGACAUCUAAGGUUAUGCCUUCAUAGAGCCUCAAUGGUUUUGUCGACCUGAGCGCUCUCACCAUUCACACCUCUCCAAGCCUUUGAAGACACUCUACUGUCUGCUUCGAGUGUGUUUUCCUGCUACAAGUGCCUACUCACCUUCAAGCUCCAAUGUCAUCCCUUUUCUGGUCCCCACUCUCCCUGAAGUCAUGCAGUUAGUGGCAGAGGCUCACGUAGAAUCCGGGUCCCCUGGCUUUCAGUAGAGUCACUACAAUAAAAUGGCCACUAAUUAAGGCUUUGGAGUCCACAACCCUGGGAGUGAGUCCCAGUUCUGCAUUAGAUAACCUUGGGGUCAUUAUUUACCAUUUUGGAGACUUCGUUUUCUCUUCUUUAAAGGGAAUAUUAACAGUACUCUCCUCAUAGAUUCUUGUGAAAAUUAAAUUAAGAUAAUAAGGUAAAGUGGUUUGCACAAUGCCUGGCACACAGUAAGUGCUCAAUAAAUGUUAGCUACUAUGGUAUCGUGUUCCUGGCCCAGGAAGAUUAUGUAAAUGAGUUAAAGGGUAGAGAGCUUUAAAAUCCUCAGGAGCAAGCCGAGUAACCUUCAUGUGCAAAGAUUUGGAAAGCCCCAGGGAAGAGUCAGUACUGAAAAGUCGGCUACUGUAAAAGUUGUAAACAAAUCUUAAAAUACUAAUUAGGCAACAGCAUAACUCACUCUCUUAAAUAAUGAAAUAUAUGGGGUUGUUGUUCAUGGUUCAAAUAAUAAAUUCUAAAUUAGUCACUCAGAGCAUUAUUAAUAACGAAACACAGUCUGCAAAGCAGCUAAGGUAUUUUUGAUCCUCAUGAAUUUAGUAAUAAGAGAAAAUAUUAAAAUCAGACUCUUUGGAGAUUAACAUGGAUCACUCAGAUGGUCUGUUUUUGUGGAAAGAUGAUUGGAUUCGGAAUUAGAACACCUGAGUUUGGGUCCUGGCUCUGUUGAUUGUUAGCUAUGUGAUCUGUGGGAAGACACAGCCUUCCUGGGUAUUUCCUCCCCUAUCAAGUGAGAAAAUAUUCUGUCACAGGAUUGUGACUUUAGGUGACAAAUAAUCUAUAUGAAAGGAUCUUAAAUAUUACAACAUGCUUUCUAGACAAUGAAGUGCAGCUUUAUUCAAGAGUAUGCUUGUAAAAACAACACAUUCGUUUAUCAUUCCUUUAUUCUUUCACUCAUUGGUCAGCACCUACUGUAAGCCUAGCAUGGUACAAGUUUCAGUUGGGGAUAAAAAGGCAGCAGAAGAAUGAUGUCCACUCUCAGAAAACCAAUAGGCCAGUUGAAAAGACAAUGUACACAGCAAUAAGCAAAUGCAUCCUUCUAAACUCUUCCUGCCUUUAAAUCCAGGGAAAUACAAAGUGAGAGAAAGAUCAGGAUUUACUCAAGAAAAGCCGUCUUGAGGGAGGUCUUAGAUUGUGUCCUGUGGUACAAGUCAGGGGUGGGGAGGACAAGUUACAUGACUGGAACAGAAAGAGUAAGACAGAUGAGGAAACAAUAAAGCAUGUUUGGCAUUUGUCAGUCAACAAUCAGUUAGUGGACACAUUUGUAUUGGGUACGGGAUGAGGCCUAGGUGCUGUGGGAGAAUUGGCAGAAGGAAGAGGCUUGACUUCCAUCCCCUAGGAAUUUUCAGUCUACAAAGCACUAGGAGGGGUGAGAAAAAAUACUGGUAAAGCAGCUGAAGAAGCGACAGAGCAUGAGUAAGUGCAAGAUGUUGUUGAGCUGAACCCUAGGGUUUAGCCAUCUCAAAAGUCUGGCUGCUAUUUUUCUGAUGAGGAAGACUGUGCCUUUAAAUCCACAGCUCAAGAAAACAUUUCAGUUUGCCAAGCUUCUGCUAAGCCAUCCUGAAAAAAAUAUUCAACAGCUUUCACCAGCCAGAGGCUCCAAUAUCCAAUCUCUGUCUCAAAUGAUAAAUGACAUUUGUCAGUUGACAAAGCAAACGGCCUCGACCAUUUGAGGACACGGUCCUGCUGUGCAUAGCACUCCUGUAGAACCCGCCAAGAGCACCUUGAGGUGAGAAAAAGCCUCUUUGUGCUCGAGCCCUCCAGAGAGAGGCGGAAAACAAGCAGCCUUUGUGUCGCUGUGAGGGCGGUUCCUCGUUAGGAGCUGAAACCCUAGUAGAAAGUGUCUGUCUGGGCAGGAGGGGAUUUCUCAGGUCUGGAGGCUGGAUUAAUCAGGGAUGGGCUGGAACCUUGCUGAUGGCCGUGCACUUUGCCUACAUUUCUGCUCAGGUCUCUGCUCUUUUUACUAAUAUCCCUUAAAUCCUGUCGUCAGAGCAGAAGGCAACGUGAUGAGCAGGAGACAAAAUCAAGGGGUAGCUCACACUGACACUAACAGCACAGUUGAUGGUGGUGUGCAUGUUGGGGAGGGUAAGUAACUUUGGCACUGUGGAUGGAAGGGCAUUUUUUCUUUGUGUAGUUCUUUCUCUAGAAUUGUGGGGUGUUUAACAUUCCUGACCUCACCCACUGAAUGACAGUAUUGCCCCCAGUCAUGGUAACUCUUAAAACCCUCCAUGUAUUUCCAACCUCCACUUCCAGGGUUUGUGGAGAACCCAAAAAAGCACUGGGUGAUGGACCUUGACCUCCACAGUGGUCCCAGCUUCCUCCGAUGUUCUCCAGGAGUCUGGGGCAGGGCAGAGUCUCUGUCUCCCUCACAAGUGCCCUCUGGGGAUGGGAGUGGUGGACUAAGACCGGAUUUGGUGUGCCCCCCACUAUCCUUUCUGAGCUAGGUGUUUACUCCAUGCUGAGCCAUCUGGAAGAAUCCAUCAGCUUUCCAGAAUGAGGCAAGGGCAUGGCAGUGGACUCAGGGGAGCUGUGAAAGGCAGGCAAAGAUAGUCAGCCAGUUAGAUAGAGGGACAACAUGGUCCUCUCCUAACUGCAGACGGGUCCUCAGGAGAAGGGCUUUCCAGGUUGAACCAGUCCAAGUCGAGGGCUCUAAGUUCAAGUGGUCUAACCAUCCAUUCCAGGAUUUUCUAAUAUGUGGUCCUUGACCAUUUGCAUUUGACUGACCUGGGGUGCUUGUGGAAAAUGCAGAUUCAUGGCUCCCAAGACCCACUAUGUCAAGUUUCUGCAUUUGGGAUUGGGAAUCCGAAUUUUCAAAAAAUUCCCUCUGUGAUUCUUUUUCAAGCUAAAGUUUGAGAGAAGUAAGGAUCUACCACCAAUGCUUGAGUUCCCUCUGUAAGAACCCUGAUUAACAAUUGCCCAGUCUCUGAACACCUUUAGUGGAGGGGGUCUCGCUCCCUCUGGAGGCAGCCCAUUGCCUCACUGGCUAACUCUAGUGCUCAGCAAGCUUCCCCAAUGGGUAAAGCACGGUUUCAUUGAUGGGGGAGAACCCUAAACUCAAACAUGCGCGUGUGUGUGUGUCUAAAUUCAUUUCAAAAGGCUUGAAAGGAUAGACACUCAACUUAAAUGUGGCUCCUUAUGGGAGGGAGAGUAAAAUAUGGGUAUGUGGGGAAGUUUAAAGGGGGGAACUUUAUAUUCUAUAUGUCUCUGUAUUGCUUGAGUUUUUCUUUGACAAUUUACAUAUAUUUGUUGUGUAAUUUUAAAAGUAAAAGACAAGAGUGCAUCAACACUGACAUUCUUUGUACUGAGCAAAAUCUUCCUCACUCUAUAUUUUCCCCCUUAGUUCUAGAGGGAAUCACACUGGGUUGCACAGAAUUUCCAGUUUCUUCCCUACCUGUCAAAAGUUUCUGAAUGCUGUUAGCUUGUCCCUUCUAGGCACUGGCUCUCUAAGCCAAAUGGCCCUGGUUCCUUGACCCUUGCGCUGAGAUCUGGCACAUUAAUCUUCCCGGAAAUUGCCCCUCCUUACCCGCCUGGCAAUGCUGUUCAGCUUGACAGUAUUCUGUGAGAAUUAUGUUCCGUGCUAUAUGAGAGUGACAUUCUGGGUGUGCUGUAACCUGAACAGAGGGAGUAGGAUGGUUGUCUCUAUCUUACUAGGUUCUAUCUUUCCAUUAAUGCUGCUUAAGGCUUUUUGGAAGCCAUGUCACACUGAUGACUCCUAUUGACCAAAGAGUCAAAUAAAACCCCUAAAUCUCGGUCAUACCAGCUGCUGCCAUGGCUCGCCCCCACCUCCCUGUACUGCUUUCAGCUAGCUUUCUGGACCCAAGUGGAAAACUUAAACUAAUUCCUAUUAAACUUCAUCUUGUUAGGCUUGGCUCAUUGAUCCAGGAGGCUGCAGCCUCUUUUCUUUUUGGAUCUUGAUUUUGUUCUCAGCAGAAAUCUCGUUCUGCAAAGUUUGAUUUUAUUUGACUGCAGAGGGGAAAAAAAACCCCACAAAAACCUCUUUAUUUUGAACAGGAGACUCUCACAGAAAAUAAACCUGAGGUUGGCAUUUUCAAAUACCCUGAACAAACGCAGAACUUGCUGCCAGCUUGAUUGGACAAGGCUCCGCUUCAGGGUCUGCUACCUGCCUGCUCCUAAGGCAAGUCCCACGACAUAUGCUACCAGGCUGGAAGGGAGCUCUGCAGACAGAAGGCCCCUUCCCAGACAGAUGGGUGUCUCUCCUCUUCCGAAAGAUCCCCUGGGAAGGCUCCACUGGGAGCAUCUUCCAGAAAUGGGAUGACUGUGUAUUGCGAAUGGCUUUAUUGCUCAGAGCAUCUGGAUGUGUUGUGAUAAACAGCAUGAUAGAUGGUUUAAUGCCUCUAAGAAUGGGUUGCCCAGAGAGAAGGAACAAAACAGAGAAUAUCACCUCCUGAUUGCUUGGAACAAAGCAGGGUGGCUCACGAAAGAUUCCACCUGAGUGGUUCUUCCUGCUCAUCCUUGUGGCAAUUUCAGCGCCAUGGACCUGAGGGGGGACUUGGAGAAGGGGAGAUUUGCUGGAGGUGGUGAGCUGGAUGGACAGAGUGUUCAUUUCUAUGUGCAGCAAAUAUUCUUUGAGGGUUAAUGAAGAUCACUGUGCUGGGCAUUGGGGGUAAAUGACAGGGAAACCAGACGUGAACCCUGCACUCACAAAGCUUUAAGCUUAGUCAAAGAGGCAUAUGUUACUAAAGUGGUCACUCAAAUAUAAGUAUUAUUACAAGAGUGGAAAAUGCAACAAAGAGAACAUGUUGUGAUGGGGAGUCUAAUUCUAGACUGGAAGGUCAGGGAAGGCUUCUCUGAAGAGGUGACAUUUCAGCUGAAAUCUGCAAGUUGUGUGGGAGGUAACUUGGCAAUGAGGUAGAAGAUAUGACAGCCAUAUGCUAAAAUGAGAUUGCUCUGGCUGCUGGGUGGAGAAUGGCUGGAGAGGAGCAAAAGGGGAUGAGGAGAGCAAAAGGAAGCAGCUGUCCCGGUGGUCUAGGUGAGAGACGCCAAGAGCUUGCACUAGCAUGGUGGCGGUGGUGAUGGAAGAUAUGGGCUGACAGGAAAGGUAAAAUAUUUUUAAAGUAAAUCAAGACUUGGUAAGAGAUCAAAAGGAGCGUAAUGGAGAAGAAAAUCUCAAGGCUGACACCUAGGUUUCUGUCAAACCCACCUGAAUGGAUGGGGAAGUUUAUGAGUCCCACUUUUGGCACACUGAGUUUGAUGAGCUUUUGGGAGAAGGAAACAGGCAGUUGGACAUGAACUUGUUGUGCUUAAAGGAGAGGGCUGGACUCCGAUUCUCAGAGCCAUGGUGAAUAGGUGGCGAAUGAAGUGCUGGCCUGCAUGAAAUUGCUUAGGGAGAGAGUAGAGAGUAAGAAACCAAGAGGACAUGGGACCGACCCAUCCCUAGUGAACUCCACUGUGUAACGGUCAGAUAGAGCAGGAAGCCAAUAAAGGAAACUUGAGAAGGAAGCGGUCAGAGGAUGGAAACCAGGAGAAUGUGAGGUCACCAUGUCCAGGAGACAGUCGUUGGUUGGAGGGGCAGGGUUACCAGCACUGUAUCCUGCUGAGCUGUCAAAUAAUUUGAGGAAUGGAAAUUGUCUAUGGGCUUGAGCAACAUGGAGAUUGUAUUCAUCUCCUAGGGCUGCAGAUUAUCGCAAUACAGAUGACCACAAACCGGGUGGCUUACGACAACAGAAAUGUAUAAUUUCACAGUUCUGGAGGCUAGAGGUCUGAAAUGGUGUCCGCCAGGCCCUGCUCUCUCUGAAGGCUCUGGGGGAGAAUCCUUCCUUGUCUCUUCCUUGUUGCCGAUAGUUGGCAGCUAUCCUUGGUGCUCCUUGGCUUGUAGAUGUAUCACUCCAAUCUCUGCCUCCUUCUUACAUGGCCUUCUCCUUGUACGUCUGUGCCCAAAUUUGCUUCUUCUUGUUAGGGCACGGGUUAUAUUAGACAGGGCCCAUCCUAAUCCAGUGUGGCCUCAUCUUAACUUGAUUACAUCUGCAAAGAUCCUAUUUCCAAAUGUCGCAUUCACAGGCACUGGGGCUUAGGACUUGAAACCAUCUUUUUGGGGGACACAAUUCAACAGUAACAGAGGUUGUCGGUAACUUUGACAGUGGCUUUUGCAGCAAGAUAAGAGAAGAUGACUGGAAUGUGUUGAGAAGGGACUGAGAGGCGGGAAAUUAGAGCUAGCACAAGACAAGACAACUCCUUCAAGAAAUUUGGCUGACUGGGGCACUGGGGCACUGGACCGGGAUCCAAAAACCUUCAUCUGUGCACCAGCUCCACCACGACCGGUGUGACCUUCCCUGAGCCCUGCUUUCUCAUUUGGGGAAUGAUUAUGCCCAUGCAACCCACCUUUGGAAUAACUUGGAGCUCUUGUGAGUUUCAAGGAGGUAAGGCACAGGAAGACUUCAUAGACUCCAAAAGCAAUGAGAGAUGCAGGAGAUUACGAUUAUGUGGGUUUAGGGAAGACCCCUACCCAUGUUUGGGUAUAUGUGUCUAUGGGCCAGCUUGAGGCAGGGACUCCAGGCAGAACAGGACUUUGGAGCUUCCUUCCAUGAGCCCGUUGAUCCAGCCAGGCAGCACAAAGACCGACCUGUUGAGCAGGCUAGCUUCCUCAGUGUGCUCUGAGCACUUUGCCUGGAGGAACUCUGUGGGCAUGACUUAGUGGCAUGAUGUUUCUUUGUCCUUGCCUAUAGGAGAGCUCACAUCAUCCAGGGCCUUACACACUCCAUCUUGGAAACUGAUGCUGGCAGAGAAGAAGGAACCCAGAGUCUUGGUUCUUGGGUGCCAGUCAGGGGCCUGAGAAAUUUACCCGCCGAGGUCUCUGAUCCUGUGUCUGUCAACGGGCCAGGCCUCUGGCAGCUAAACCCCAAGACCUUCUGUGGGUUGACAAGGAGGGGGACACUUUGCCACAGAGACUGGGGAAACUAGCUUGGGGACAAAAGCUGGUUGUAGAGGUGGCAGCUGAUCAAGCCAUGGGCAGGCGGGAUCCACUGCCCGAGUUGUAACUAGAGACUCCCCCGCAGUGUGGGGCUUGGCGAUGGGGCCACAGGCAGCAGGCAGCACCAGGCAGCCAGGCAAGCAGACAGCUGUGGCGGGCUCUGUGAGGAAGGGCAGGCCGUCCUCCCAAGAGGAGGAGCAGGUUGGCUGCAGGGCCUGAGUUGCUAGCAAUGAUUAAUUUAUUCCUUACUGGAUUUGUCAGGUGUCAGGGCCUAGGCGCUGGCUGGGUGGCUGGGGAGGUGCCGAGGAUGGGAGGCUGCAGCAGGGGGGCUGGGUGACAGGGCCUCUGGGUGAGGCCCCUGGCCUGGUUGAGAUAAGGGGGCACCAAGCAGGAUGUCUUAACAGGAAGAAAACUCCCAUCAUAGCAGCCCUUAAGUGCACACGAAUCACCAGGGAUCUCUUUAAAAUGCAGAUUCACAUACGGCAGACCCAGGGUAGGGCAAGAGAGUCUGCAUUUCUAAAAAGUUCCCAGGUGAUGCUGAUGCUGCUGUUCCACGCCACACUUUGGCAGCAAGAUGAGGGAAAAGGGGAUUAAUUGUCAGCAUUCAGGGGAAGCUCACGACAUUCAAUAGCAGGAACUGGAAACCUGCAAGCUGUCAGCAGUGACAGCUUCUCUCUCUGGAGCCACAUGGUCUCUUGUCUGCACAUCUGCUCUCUUCUCCUCUCUAGCCUGGCUUCCUCUGCAAGCCUUUGUAACUUGGCUCGCCCUUGGCUGUCUUUACCACUGCCAGGACCCUGACCUCAACCUUAUGGCUCCAGCUCCUAACUCUGUCAGGCUAUAGUCUUUCUGGUCUCUUCUGACUUUUUUCUCUCUCAAGAUUCUGAUUGGCUCGGCUGGUCAGGUGUCCAUACUUGGUCCAAGAAGCUGUGCUAAGGGGCCAACAAGUAGGGCUGCUCAGGUGCUUUCAAUGGCGUCAUGGAACGCCCCCCCCCCCCCCCCCCCCAUGGGCAGCCUCAGUCAGACGGAUGGAGAGAAAUGCAGCCUUGAUGAACUGUUUUAAACACGUGUGAUCAGAAACUCUAGAAAAAAAGAAUUUCAGCAUAUAUUUUGGCUACUUUCCAAAAUGUGAGUUUAUUUGGAAUUAUUUCUAGAACUAGGUGGGUGGGCACCAAAAUCUUUUUCUUGUUUAAAGCCCUGGAAGGAGCGAGGGUUUGACAGGAGCCCCAAACAUGCCUCCAAGAGAAGAGGCCAGGGGGAGUGUAGCGAUGAAGGCCCCGUGGCUUGAGACAAAUGAGAAGAGAGGGAGAGAGCUGAGACGCGGGCUGUUCGCUUGGUGGUUCCUCAGUCGCCAGGGCAGGCUGACUGUGAAGGAGCUGCUGCAGCUCGCGGGAGCCCAGGAACAGUGACCCCGCUCUCGGAUCCCAGGUGCAGGAGGCUGGCUGAGAUUUCAACGAUAGUAGUCAGGUCUGCACUUGGGGAAAGGUCACGGCUCAUAAUAGCUUGGAUUGUUCAACCUAGACAUGUGCGGAUUAGGAAACAAGACGCAGAGAGACUCCGACCCGCUCAAGGUGAAAGUCCCAGUUGGUGGCUGAGCCAGCCAAGGAUGCCUGCGUCCUGACAUCCAGCCCUGAGCUCUUCUGAAGAUGAGGGGACUCUUAAGAAUACACAAUACUUCCAGGCUUUUUGUUCCGACAGAAGUAAGUUUGCAAAGCAGUUGUGGAGGACUCUCGGAAGAAGGGCAAACAGUCCCCGAGGGGGUGGAGCUGCUGGUUCCAGGAGCUCUGUUGCCAGCAAUUAUUAAUUCACUCCGGCUGGCGCUGUCUUGGGGGCCUCCCGCGCACAAUAGCAUUAGGAGCGUUGGCAGCUGCGGAGGGAGAAGGCCCGCUCCACCUGGGAAUGAGGAAGAUGUGACUCCUCGCAAGGUUGCUCUCCUCCCAGCUCCCGCUCUUGGGAGAGAUGAUCAGUGCUUGCGGGCCUGGGAGCAGGCUGCUGAGGACACAGUGUUCCCGGGGAUGGUGGCAGAUCUUGGAGAAGGGACAGAAGCUGGGCCAAGAGACUGGAACUUAUGCAAAUCAGGCCUGAGGAUGGUUCAAGGAGGGGGCAGCCCCUGCCUUAUGCCUCCCCCUCAGCAUACCCAGAACCAGACUCCUCGGGAGGAACAUCUUUUGUCUUCAAUGCUAAGCUUGUUCACGAGGAUGUGUGCGCUGGGAAAAUAGGUUUGGAAUUUGAUGAACUGCCUGCUGCUGGCUCCUCUGUUUUCUGGCAUCAAGGUUCCUCAAUAGUGGACUCAACAGUUGCAUUUUUCACCUACAAAAGAAUUGCUAUCAGAAAACCAGACAGCGGAUAAUUGUAUUUUGUGAAUUGACAGUGAAGCCACUCGGUUUCAGCCCAGGUCCAAAGGCUGAGGAUGUUCACCCAGGAGAAAUGGUUUGUGCGAGAGAAUUCAUUUCUGAGUACUCAUUUUUACUGGAGGAAACAGGGUUGCUUGGAUUUUUUUUUUUUUUAUUCUUCUUCAACAUGUAGGCAGAAGGUUCAGAAUCCCUAACAGCUCUGGCGACCCCUGCUGUGUCAGUGUGAAUGCAAGAUGCCAAGUAAGACUGGAGGCUCCAGCUUCAACCAGAGCCUCAUCCAUCUCUUCAAACCUACCAGGGAAGGAAAUAAAAAUAUGUGCCCAUAAAUUUCCUCCUUGACGGGCAGCAAAUGCGCUGGCCUCCUGCCACCUGACAGUGAAACGUGAAGCUGGGGAGUGUCUCCCUGCAAGCGCACCUAGGGCUGCUCCCGCCCCCUUCUGGAGCAGGAUCAAAAUGCUUCCCCAGAAGUGCGCCAGCUGCCCUUGUGGGCCAGGCCCAGCCAUCCAAAGCUGCCGAAGAGCAACUUGGCUUCCUUUCCCUUCUCCCACUUGGACCACCAGGAUGCCUCUGCAGUUUUUUGGACUCCUGUUUUGACCAAUUAUCCCAAUUAACUUGAGCAAGAUAGAAGGAGAGACCUAUACCCCCCUCUUUGUCCGAGAAAAAAUGCACCAAGGGAGAGAGAAUGAAGACAAGACUAUGAAUCUGUUCCCUGCACACAUCGAACUCAUUCCUAUCUCUGCGCAUGCUGUUCAACCCACUGGGAACACGCUUUCUUCUCCCAUCAGCACCCAUUUACCUAAAUUUUAUUCAUUCUUCAAGACUCAUUAAAUCCCGUCUGCUUCAUGAAGAUUUUUUAUCUGUGAGUUCACUCCCUCCACUGUCUCUUACUGUACCUGCAAUCUGUCCCAGAGUUUAAUGUGACUAUAGACAUGCUUGUGUUUCUUCUCUCCUCCCUGCUUCCCUCCUGUGCCCUGCACAGUGCUGGUCCAUUAUAAGCUUCAAGAAAUGUUUGUUGAUUGACACAUUAAAGAGAUGAACUGAACCUCGCUCUCUUUUC
rnacentral:lncRNA from 1 species